GGGUGCGUAACGCGUAUCGAACCUGCCGCAUACCCGGGGAUAGCCUUGCGAAAGCAAGAUUAAUACCCGAUGUUCUCACUGUUCCGCAUGUUACGGUGAGCAAAGAAUUUCGGUAUGCGAUGGCGAUGCGUCCCAUUAGCUAGUUGGCGGGGUAACGGCCCACCAAGGCUCCGAUGGGUAGGGGUUCUGAGAGGAAGGUCCCCCACACUGGAACUGAGACACGGUCCAGACUCCUACGGGAGGCAGCAGUGAGGAAUAUUGGUCAAUGGACGCAAGUCUGAACCAGCCAAGUAGCGUGCAGGAUGACGGCCCUCCGGGUUGUAAACUGCUUUUAGUUGGGAAUAAAAGGGGGCUCGUGAGCCCCGUAUUGUAUGUACCAUCAGAAAAGGGACCGGCUAAUUCCGUGCCAGCAGCCGCGGUAAUACGGAAGGUCCGGGCGUUAUCCGGAUUUAUUGGGUUUAAAGGGAGCGUAGGCCGGCUUUUAAGUCAGCUGUGAAAGUCCGCGGCUCAACCGUGGAAUUGCAGUUGAAACUGGAGGCCUUGAGUGCACACAGGGAUGCCGGAAUUCAUGGUGUAGCGGUGAAAUGCUUAGAUAUCAUGAAGAACUCCGAUCGCGAAGGCAAGUGUCCGGGGUGCAACUGACGCUGAGGCUCGAAAGUGCGGGUAUCAAACAGGAUUAGAUACCCUGGUAGACCGCACCGUAAACGAU
rnacentral:rRNA from 1 species